UAUUACUGUUUUAACUUUUUUUGUUUUGUUUUGUUUUAGAGCAAAAUAGACUAAUUAAAAAAAACAUUGGUUUUGCUGUUUUUUCUUUAUAGCAUUGCAGCACAUGGGUAAGGGUGAUGACGCUAUACGUGAGGCACUUUAUCAUCUUCGAGACCUCAUGGAUUAUGCACAUCUCUUCACAUUUAACAUGAACGUGAUAUACAUACCGAAUGUGCAUAUUGAAAGCGGGGAGAUGUGCAACUGUAAAGAGUUCAUUGCUCAAGAGCUUCUGAAGACGUUAGUUUCAGCAGAAAUCACUGAUCAAGACGCUGCUGCUGAACCACGCACUGCACUUAGACUGUUACAGCACAAUAUCAGAUUUCUCCUUCAGAAUUCGAUUGGAGAACACUGUCUAAAAGACAAAGUCAUGGUUCACAAGAUUAAUUUGAGGAUUAAUCAAGAGUUGAUGUUCAUUCGUCGAUGUUUCACAUUUUUCCAGGAUUGGAUGUUCAAAUGCACAACCAGCAGUGACUUUUGAUUUCUGAUUAAUUCCCUUUGACUGCUGUCGAGAUUAUUACAUUAAAUAACUGUUUAAGUACCUAUUACUUUUAUAAAUGGCCUAACAGGACAAGAUCUAAUAUUGAUAGAAGCUGUAAAACCAUGUUACUAUGUGAUUUGUUUCUCAAUAUUGCAAUAAAUAAUAAUGAGUGACC
rnacentral:lncRNA from 12 species